GGCCGCGGGAAUUCCAUUAAGGCCUAACACAUGCAAGUCGAGCGGGGGAGAUUCCUUCGGUAAUUGACCUAGCGGCGGACGGGUGAGUAAUACUUAGGAAUCUGCCUAUUAAUGGGGGACAACAUCUCCAAAGGGAUGCUAAUACCGCAUACGCCCUACGGGGGAGAGCAGGGGAUCACUUGUGACCUUGCGUUAAUAGAUGAGCCUAAGUCGGAUUAGCUAGUUGGUGGGGUAAAGGCCUACCAAGGCGACGAUCUGUAGCGGGUCUGAGAGGAUGAUCCGCCACACUGGGACUGAGACACGGCCCAGACUCCUACGGGAGGCAGCAGUGGGGAAUAUUGGACAAUGGGGGGAACCCUGAUCCAGCCAUGCCGCGUGUGUGAAGAAGGCCUUAUGGUUGUAAAGCACUUUAAGCGAGGAGGAGGCUCCUGUAGUUAAUACCUACAGAGAGUGGACGUUACUCGCAGAAUAAGCACCGGCUAACUCUGUGCCAGCAGCCGCGGUAAUACAGAGGGUGCGAGCGUUAAUCGGAUUUACUGGGCGUAAAGCGUGCGUAGGCGGCUUUUUAAGUCGGAUGUGAAAUCCCCGAGCUUAACUUGGGAAUUGCAUUCGAUACUGGGAAGCUAGAGUAUGGGAGAGGAUGGUAGAAUUCCAGGUGUAGCGGUGAAAUGCGUACAGAUCUGGAGGAAUACCGAUGGCGAAGGCAGCCAUCUGGCCUAAUACUGACGCUGAAGUACGAAAGCAUGGGGA
rnacentral:rRNA from 1 species